rnacentral:piRNA from 1 species
UNGGCAGAGUCUUGAGCCAGUACAGGUCC